UUAAAAGCACCAGGGAGCUGGUGAGGUGGAUCUACAGCUUCAGCUGUCUUGGGCACUGGCCCUCUCCCCUCCAGGAUACAGUGACCAGAUGAAGCUCUGAGCGACAGGCAGGGGGCAGGGGCCUGACUCCAGCUCUGGCAACCUCAGCAGGGAGUAGGCAGAGAGGCGGGGAGCUGGGAGGGGCUUUCCAAUCCUGGUCGUCAGAGGACUGCAGGUGCUAGGCAGAGUUGGUGUAGUUUGCUGCAUCUGGAGGAGCUCUCUGGAGAAUCUCCAGCCUCGGAGCGGGCCUUCAACUACCAUUCUCCUGUCUUCUAAGAAACAAAGCCUUCAAGACUCAGAGGACA